UACGGAGGGUGCAAGCGUUAAGCGGAAUGACUGGGCGUAAAGCGCGCGUAGGUGGCUUGAUAAGCAGGUUGUGAAAGCCCCGGGCUCAACCUGGGAACGGCAUCCGGAACUGUCAAGCCAGAGUGCAGGAGAGGAGGGUAGAAUUCCCGGUGUAGCGGUGAAAUGCGUAGAGAUCGGGAGGAAUACCAGUGGCGAAGGCGGCCUUCUGGACUGACACUGACACUGAGGUGCGAAAGGGUGGGUAGCAAACAGG
rnacentral:misc_RNA from 1 species